GAAAUGCGAUAAGUAGUGUGAAUUGCAGAAUUCAGUGAAUCAUCGAAUCUUUGAACGCACAUUGCGCCCCUUGGUAUUCCAUGGGGCAUGCCUGUUCGAGCGUCAUUUGUACCCUCAAGCUCUGCUUGGUGUUGGGUGUUUGUCCCGUCUCCGCGCGUGGACUCGCCCCAAAGUGAUUGGCAGCCGGCGUACUGGUCCCGGAGCGCAGCACAUGUCGCGCAAACGAGUGCCUUGGUACGGCGUCGUCCAUAAGCCCCUCUCUCACGCUCUUGACCUCGGAUCAGGUAGGGAUACCCGCUGAACUUAAGC
rnacentral:misc_RNA from 1 species